rnacentral:tRNA from 1 species
GUACAAGUGCCAGAUGUGUUUAUGGGUUAGUUUUAAGCAUUAAUUAAGGAUUGUUGUUUCCCUUGUAUG